rnacentral:rRNA from 1 species
CCUACGGGAGGCAGCAGUGGGGAAUCUUGCGCAAUGGGCGAAAGCCUGACGCAGCAACGCCGCGUGGGGGAUGAAGGCUCUCGGGUUGUAAACCCCUUUCAGCAGGGACGAAUCAAGACGGUACCUGCAGAAGAAGCCCCGGCUAACUACGUGCCAGCAGCCGCGGUAACACGUAGGGGGCAAGCGUUGUCCGGAUUUAUUGGGCGUAAAGAGCUCGUAGGUGGCUGAGUAAGUCGGAUGUUAAAUCCCCAGGCUCAACCUGGGACACCACCCGAUACUGCUCUGGCUAGAGUCCGGUAGGGGAGCGUGGAAUUCCUGGUGUAGCGGUGAAAUGCGCAGAUAUCAGGAGGAACACCAGCGGCGAAGGCGGCGCUCUGGGCCGGUACUGACACUGAGGAGCGAAAGCGUGGGUAGCAAACAGGAUUAGAUACCCUGGUAGUCCACGCCGUAAACGUUGGGCACUAGGUGUGGGGUCUAUUCAACGGACUCCGUGCCGUAGCUAACGCAUUAAGUGCCCCGCCUGGGGAGUACGGCCGCAAGGCUAAAACUUAAAGGAAAUUGACGG